GUUUACGGAAAUAAUCACAUUUAUUUUAAUUCGAAACUAUGGCGUCGAACGAAGAUGCAUUAGAUGACGAGAAACGUCCGCAGUUUGGUAACCGAUACCUCACCGACGCUAAGAAUGUGUUUGAACACAAUGCAUGGUAAACAUAGAAAGUGAUCAAAUCUAAUCAGUAUGCUACAGAACUUCCAUUGAUCUUUAUUAAUAUGCUUCACAGACAAAUACAAGCACGCUUUCAUCUGGUUAUUUUCGUUCCAUGUUGGCUAGAUUAAAUGUUGUUCUCUUUGAAGAAACGUUGUCACAUCAAUUUGUGUGUUUAUCCUUCCAGCAUCUGUUAAGAACGGUAGUACCUUGUAGCAAAGCAAGUAUGAAAAUGUUAUAUGGUCAGGUGUAGUCAUUGACAGUAAUUGAGAAAAUAUGAAUGGACUUGCUAGAAGAGUGUAUGGUAGCAGAGUGCUCAGUCAUGUUUUCAAACUGUCCACAAAACACCGAGCAUGUUCAAACCACAAACAUAAGAUUAGACCAAAUCAGCCUCAAGCUGGUAGAAGGGGCAGACCUUUGACCGAUGAAAGUCGAGUAUGGGAAUUCAAUAACUGGGACAAUGUUGUGUGGGACUCGAGUCAAGAAGAAGAGGCCCGGAAGAAGACCCAGCAACAGCUAGCAGAAGCUCUCCCACAGGAGACCACAGAGAUGUAUGAAGAGAAGGCAGAUCAUUUCUGGGACGAAUUCUACAACAUUCACACCAACAGGUUCUUCAAGGAUCGUCAUUGGCUGUUUGUUGAGUUCCCAGAGUUAGACUCGGCCAAUGACAAGACAGAAUCCCUGACAACAGGAAACAGGGAAGCAGGGAAUGGUGGGAAGACUGAAUACUUAGAUGUUGCCCAGGGAGUUGAGAAUAUUUCCCUGACAGCGACUGAGUCUCCAGUAGAUUCUGACAGGGUAGAGGCGUAUCCCGGAGAAAAUGCUGACUUCAGAAUAUUUGAGGUUGGAUGUGGUGUGGGUAACACCGUCUUCCCCAUCCUGCAGACAAACAAUGAUUCAAAGCUGAUGGUGUACUGCUGUGAUUUUUCUUCCACUGCAGUUCAGAUUGUCAAGGAACACACAGACUACAAUCCACAUCGCUGUCAUGCCUUCGUCUCUGACAUCAGUGACACCAACACUGUGCUGCCGAUGCCAGACAACAGCCUUGACCUUAUCAUCAUGAUCUUUGUUCUGUCUGCCAUCAACCCACAGAAAAUGCAGUUUGUGAUAGAUCGGUUGUCCCGCCUGUUGAAGCCGGGGGGACAGAUCUUGUUCCGAGACUAUGGACGCUACGACAUGGCACAGCUGAGAUUUAAAAAAGGUCGAUGUCUGUCCGAGAACUUCUAUGUGAGGGGGGAUGGCACACGCGUCUAUUUCUUCACCCAAGGUUUGAUCUGACUCUUGAUACUCUAACGGUCUGUGUUGUUUUCAUUUCACUAAGUCAGGGACACUAUUAGCACAAGAGGAACUACGUGAUAUGUUCUCCAAGAGUGGCUUGGUGGAGAAACAGAAUCUGAUUGACCGGCGCCUGCAGGUGAACCGAGGCAAGCAGCUCAAGAUGUACCGUGUGUGGAUCCAGU
rnacentral:misc_RNA from 1 species